AUUUGUUUAUAAAAUUACUCACUAAUCUAAUAAAAGUUCCUUGAAAAAUUAUCCCCUUCUUUUGCUCCUUAAUUUCCAAACUCGGCCUUUAAAAUGACUGAAUUUUACCAUCUACAAUCCAAUUUCAAAGCUUCUAUGUAGACUAAACCGAACUAGUCACAAGAAUCUGGUGGCAGGUGACCAGAAAAAUAAUCCACA